GACGAACGCUGGAGGCGUGCUUAACACAUGCAAGUCGAACGGAAAGGCCCUGCUUUUGUGGGGUGCUCGAGUGGCGAACGGGUGAGUAACACGUGAGUAACCUGCCCUUGACUUUGGGAUAACUUCAGGAAACUGGGGCUAAUACCGGAUAGGAGCUCCUGCUGCAUGGUGGGGGUUGGAAAGUUUCGGCGGUUGGGGAUGGACUCGCGGCUUAUCAGCUUGUUGGUGGGGUAGUGGCUUACCAAGGCUUUGACGGGUAGCCGGCCUGAGAGGGUGACCGGCCACAUUGGGACUGAGAUACGGCCCAGACUCCUACGGGAGGCAGCAGUGCGGAAUAUUGCACAAUGGGCGGAAGCCUGAUGCAGCAACGCCGCGUGCGGGAUGACGGCCUUCGGGUUGUAAACCGCUUUCGCCUGUGACGAAGCGUGAGUGACGGUAAUGGGUAAAGAAGCACCGGCUAACUACGUG
rnacentral:rRNA from 1 species